GAACUUGAGUGUGUGUGUGUGUGUGUGUGUGUGUGUGUGUGUGUGUGUGGUAGGUAAUGCCCAUAUGUGCACCCACACGC
rnacentral:miRNA from 1 species